GGUACUACCCUUCGGGGUAGCUAGAGCGGGAACGGGUGAGUACACGUAGAUAUCUGCCUUGAGGUUGGGGAUAGCCUGUGGAACACAGUGGUAUACCGAAUAAGCCCUAUGGGGGAACGGUGCUAAGGCACCGCCUUAAGAUGAGUCUGCGGCUCAUUAGUUAGUUGGUGGGGUAACGGCCUACCAAGGCGACGAUGAGUAGCCGGCCUGAGAGGGUGGACGGCCACACUGGGACUGAGACACGGCCCAGACUCCUACGGGAGGCAGCAGCUAAGAAUCUUCCGCAAUGGGCGCAAGCCUGACGGAGCGACGCCGCGUGAACGAAGAAAGCCGUGAGGUUGUAAAGUUCUUUUCUUACUGAAGAAUAAUUACCCGAGGGAAUGCGGGUAAGAUGACGUUAGGUAAGGAAUAAGCCCCGGCUAAUUACGUGCCAAGCAGACGCGGUAACACGUAAGUGGGCAAGCGUUGUUCGGAAUUAUUGGGCGUAAAGGGCGUGUAAGCGGUUUUACCAAGUCUGGUGUGAAAUACCGCAGCUUAAAUGCGG
rnacentral:rRNA from 1 species